rnacentral:lncRNA from 1 species
GGGGAGAACAGUUAGUGCUGAUUUUCAUUUGCAUACAUUUUCAUAUAUUUUGGUGAAAAUAAUAGACUGGUGGAGAGCUGGGUUUAGAAGAGUCAGUGUAAAGGGAAGACUAAGGAUGCAUCGGUUCUGGGGAGUUGAGAAUAUGCCUCCCCCCCCCCAGGCACCUUUAAAAAAUAAUAAAACAUCUUCUUUUAUUUUAAAAUCUAAUCCUGGAAGUUUGUUCGGUAAAGCCACUUUAAGGCAACACGGUUUCCUGCGUCCUUUGUGUUCCCCUGUCCUGUGGUCUGGAGACAAAGCUGGGGAACAAGACUCAGCUGACCUCUGACAUUAUGGAGCUACCCUUGAGUAAGGGAGAUGGACGGAUGGCACGCGAGGGACCAAACAGAGAGAGGGUCACACGUGGAGUUGACUAGCACAGUUAUGGAGGGCAGGAAGUCCUACAAUGUGCUGUCUGCAAUCUGGAGACCAAGGAAAGCUGCUCAUGUAACUCACCUCAAGUCUGAAGACCUGAGAAUCACAGGGGUCCCUGGGGAGCAACUCUGUAAAUUCUAGCUGGAUUCUGAAGGCCCAAGACCCAGAAACUCUGAUGCCCGAGGGCAGGAGAAGAUGGAUGUCUCCACCUUUCUUCUGUCUUUCUCUUCUAUUCUGGUCCUCAAUGGAUUAGAUGACGCCUACUGCAUCGGUGAAGGUGAUCUUCGUUACUCAUCUACUCGUUCAGAUGCAAAUCUCUUCCAGAAACGCUCUCACAGACACAUCCAGACUUAUGUUUUACCAGCAGUCUGGGCAUCUCUUAGCCCAGUCAAGUUGACACAUGAGAAUAACGGGCACAGUUUGUCUAUGAGCCUAAGUCUACGAUUCUCUGAAGCAAAUAUGCCGGUGAAGUUGCCUGAUAAAAAAGCAAACCUCCCAGAGUCUUCCAUUGGAGAAUUGUCACCUGCAAAGACCUCUGAGAGGGAAGGGAGAAGACUGGAAAUGGAGCGGUGCGGAGAUGAUACAGGGACUGCAGACGAAAACGUCGACACAGCCCCCAGCAAAGCCCCAGGAGUUGAGUGCUCUUAA